UGUUAUAUUGUUAUGUAUCAAACUAUACAAUAUGUAAAACAUACAUACCUGAAUAACGGGUAGCAAAGGAGACUUCAAAUCAGUUCUCAAAUCAAUAAACAAUUUCCUCAAUCUCUCUUUAUACAAUUCAGCAUCACUUAUAUUCAACGUAUCUCUCUCCCCUUGAAACCACAACACGCCCCUAAUCUCUCCACCACCUUCCCCCGCGGCAGCCGCCCUACGCGUCAACUCGUCGUAAAGCCUACCGCCGCGGGACCACUCUCCUAUCCCACUCCCUCCAAUUGCACAAGGCACCAAACCAACCACCCGAAACCGCCUUGGAUCGCCUCUCAACACCGCAUUCGCAAACGCCAUCCCUGGCCCCACCCCACAAGUUUUGUUCACAUCAAUAUCUAUAUGAAGUGGUUCAUGUGCAUCUUCCCAUGUUAGAUCACCACCUAACCGUAGAAUCUUUCCGGGGCGGGGCUUGACUUCUGGCGGGAUUAUCCCGUCCCAGUUUUUGUCAAUCACCCCGCCCCGUCCGGCCAUGUUGCUUUGGCCGGCUAGAAUAAAAACAUCUUUGAUAAGAUAGGUUGAUCUAGUUGAAGUAUUGGUGAAGGUAGGUAGUUUGACAUGAAGAGGAUAUUUUAGAGAAAGAAGAAGAUUAAUUGGUGGGUGGGAAUUAUUUUAGUUGUUUUAUAUGUGCAAAAGCAACUUUUGUCUUGUGAUUGAAGCCGAGAUUUAAUUGUUUAGUUUGGCAGUAUACCGGAAUUCUAGUACAACACAAGAUAAAAGACUGGUCUGGUCCCCUUAAAUAUCUCAAAGGAAAUAAAUAAAAAAAUAAAAACAUAUCUUUAUAUAAUGCAUAUUAGAUAGAUAAUAAGGUAAUAACUUCAUUUGAGGAACACACCAUUAUAAUUUAUCUCAAAGUUUAAGACAUAUUAAUAUAUAAUUUAAUAAAUUACUAAUUAAAUGCAUUAAAUACACUUUCUCAACAAUAAUUAUGGGAAAAUAGAAAAAUAAUAAUAUUAAUAAUAAAACAAUGAAACUAAAACCAAGUGGUUUUAUUACCACUUCUUUGUA
rnacentral:lncRNA from 1 species